rnacentral:rRNA from 1 species
UGGGGAAUAUUGCACAAUGGGCGCAAGCCUGAUGCAGCCAUGCCGCGUGUAUGAAGAAGGCCUUCGGGUUGUAAAGUACUUUCAGCGGGGAGGAAGGCGAUGCGGUUAAUAACCGCGUCGAUUGACGUUACCCGCAGAAGAAGCACCGGCUAACUCCGUGCCAGCAGCCGCGGUAAUACGGAGGGUGCAAGCGUUAAUCGGAAUUACUGGGCGUAAAGCGCACGCAGGCGGUCUGUCAAGUCGGAUGUGAAAUCCCCGGGCUCAACCUGGGAACUGCAUUCGAAACUGGCAGGCUAGAGUCUUGUAGAGGGGGGUAGAAUUCCAGGUGUAGCGGUGAAAUGCGUAGAGAUCUGGAGGAAUACCGGUGGCGAAGGCGGCCCCCUGGACAAAGACUGACGCUCAGGUGCGAAAGCGUGGGGAGCAAACA